rnacentral:rRNA from 1 species
GGGGGAUAACACUUGGAAACAGGUGCUAAUACCGCAUAACCAUAGUUACCGCAUGGUAACUAUGUAAAAGGUGGCUAUACUACCGCUUUUGGAUGGGCCCGCGGCGCAUUAGCUAGUUGGUAGGGUAAAGGCUUACCAAGGCAAUGAUGCGUAGCCGAAUUGAGAGGUUGAUCGGCCACAUUGGGACUGAGACACGGCCCAAACUCCUACGGGAGGCAGCAGUAGGGAAUCUUCCACAAUGGGCGAAAGCCUGAUGGAGCAACGCCGCGUGGGUGAAGAAGGUCUUCGGAUCGUAAAACCCUGUUGUUAGAGAAGAAAGUGCGUGAGAGUAACUGUUCACGUUUCGACGGUAUCUAACCAGAAAGCCACGGCUAACUACGUGCCAGCAGCCGCGGUAAUACGUAGGUGGCAAGCGUUAUCCGGAUUUAUUGGGCGUAAAGGGAACGCAGGCGGUCUUUUAAGUCUGAUGUGAAAGCCUUCGGCUUAACCGGAGUAGUGCAUUGGAAACUGGGAGACUUGAGUGCAGAAGAGGAGAGUGGAACUCCAUGUGUAGCGGUGAAAUGCGUAGAUAUAUGGAAGAACACCAGUGGCGAAAGCGGCUCUCUGGUCUGUAACUGACGCUGAGGUUCGAAAGCGUGGGUAGCAAACAGGAUUAGAUACCCUGGUAGUCCACGCCGUAAAC